UAUAUUUUUGAAAAGUAAACAACCCAGGGUAUUCAGUAUGGGGUAUGUCCAGUUUUGUUCAGUAGCCACUUAGUCACAAACACUGGCCAAAGUUAGCAUUUAUAUUUGUGUGUUAAAAAUGCAAAAAAACAAUUAUGAACGUUAGCUUUGGACAGUGUUUGUGACUAAGUGGCUACUAAAAAAGACUGAACAUACCCCAUUUACAAUACCUUGGGUUGUCUUCUUUUGCAAAUGGUAUG
rnacentral:miRNA from 1 species